AUUGAACGCUGGCGGCAGGCCUAACACAUGCAAGUCGAGCGAGCGGCGGACGGGUGAGUAAUGUAUGGGAAUCUGCCCGAUAGAGGGGGAUAACUACUGGAAACGGUGGCUAAUACCGCAUACUAUCGGAUGAACCCAUAUGGGAUUAGCUAGUGGGUGGGGUAAAGGCUCACCAAGGCGACGAUCUCUAGCUGGUCUGAGAGGAUGACCAGCCACACUGGAACUGAGACACGGUCCAGACUCCUACGGGAGGCAGCAGUGGGGAAUAUUGCGCAAUGGGGGCAACCCUGACGCAGCCAUGCCGCGUGAAUGAAGAAGGCCUUCGGGUUGUAAAGUUCUUUCGGUAGCGAGGCGUUACCUACAGAAGAAGCACCGGCUAACUCCGUGCCAGCCGCCGCGGUAAUAC
rnacentral:rRNA from 1 species